rnacentral:rRNA from 1 species
AGAGUUUGAUCAUGGCUCAGGACGAACGCUGGCGGCGUGCUUAACACAUGCAAGUCGAACGGAAAGGCCCUUCGGGGUACUCGAGUGGCGAACGGGUGAGUAACACGUGGGUGAUCUGCCCUGCACUUCGGGAUAAGCCUGGGAAACUGGGUCUAAUACCGGAUAUGACUGCGAAUCGCAUGGUUUGUGGUGGAAAGCUUUUGCGGUGUGGGAUGGGCCCGCGGCCUAUCAGCUUGUUGGUGAGGUUAUGGCUUACCAAGGCGACGACGGGUAGCCGGCCUGAGAGGGUGUCCGGCCACACUGGGACUGAGAUACGGCCCAGACUCCUACGGGAGGCAGCAGUGGGGAAUAUUGCACAAUGGGCGCAAGCCUGAUGCAGCGACGCCGCGUGAGGGAUGACGGCCUUCGGGUUGUAAACCUCUUUCAGUAGGGACGAAGCGGAAGUGACGGUACCUACAGAAGAAGCACCGGCCAACUACGUGCCAGCAGCCGCGGUAAUACGUAGGGUGCGAGCGUUGUCCGGAAUUACUGGGCGUAAAGAGCUCGUAGGUGGUUUGUCGCGUUGUUCGUGAAAACCUGAGGCUUAACCUUGGGCGUGCGGGCGAUACGGGCAGACUGGAGUACUGCAGGGGAGACUGGAAUUCCUGGUGUAGCGGUGGAAUGCGCAGAUAUCAGGAGGAACACCGGUGGCGAAGGCGGGUCUCUGGGCAGUAACUGACGCUGAGGAGCGAAAGCGUGGGGAGCGAACAGGAUUAGAUACCCUAGUAGUCC